rnacentral:rRNA from 1 species
UACGUAGGGGGCAAGCGUUGUCCGGAUUAUUGGGCGUAAAGAGCGUGUAGGCGGCCAGAUAGGUCAGCUGUGAAACUCGAGGCUCAACCUCGAGAUGUCGGCUGAAACCAUCUGGCUAGAGUCCGGAAGAGGAAAGUGGAAUUCCUGGUGUAGCGGUGAAAUGCGCAGAUAUCAGGAAGAACACCAGUGGCGAAGGCGACUAACUGGACAUGUAUUGACGUGGAGGUGACGAAAGGCGUGGGGAGCAAACAGG